rnacentral:rRNA from 1 species
AAUAACACCGGCACGGUCUUUGGUGAUUCAUAGUAACUUUUCGAAUCGCAUGACUUUACGUCGGCGAUGGUUCAUUCAAAUUUCUUGCCCUAUCAAGUUUCGAUGGUAGGAUAGAGGCCUACCAUGCUUUUUACGGGUAACGGCGAAUUAGGGUUCGAUUCCGGAGAGGGAGCCUGAGAAACGGCUACCACAUCUAAGGAAGGCAGCAGGCGCGCAAAUUACCCAAUCCUGAUUCAGGGAGGUAGUGACAAUAAAUAACAAUCCAGGACUUCGGUCUUGGAAUUGGAAUGAGAACAAUUUAAAUCUCUUAUCGAGGAACAAUUGGAGGGCAAGUCUGGUGCCAGCAGCCGCGGUAAUUCCAGCUCCAAUAGCGUAUAUUAAAGUUGUUGCAGUUAAAUAGCUCGUAGUUGAAUCUUGGGGCUGGUUU